rnacentral:rRNA from 1 species
CCUACGGUGGGCAGCAGUGAGGAAUAUUGGUCAAUGGGCGCGAGCCUGAACCAGCCAAGUAGCGUGCAGGAUGACGGCCCUAUGGGUUGUAAACUGCUUUUGUAUGGGGAUAAAGUCAAUCACGUGUGAUUGUUUGCAGGUACCAUACGAAUAAGGACCGGCUAAUUCCGUGCCAGCAGCCGCGGUAAUACGGAAGGUCCGGGCGUUAUCCGGAUUUAUUGGGUUUAAAGGGAGCGUAGGCCGGAGAUUAAGUGUGUUGUGAAAUGUAGACGCUCAACGUCUGACUUGCAGCGCAUACUGGUUUCCUUGAGUACGCACAACGUUGGCGGAAUUCGUCGUGUAGCGGUGAAAUGCUUAGAUAUGACGAAGAACUCCGAUUGCGAAGGCAGCUGACGGGAGCGCAACUGACGCUUAAGCUCGAAGGUGCGGGUAUCGAACAGGAUUAGAUACCCGGGUAGUC